ensembl:lncRNA
CGAGAAGUUCUUCAUUGCGACACCGUCUGUAACACCCGGCGAUGGGAAAAUACAGAACCGCGGAAGGGGCUGCUACCCUAGCCAGAGCCCUUGAAUAAAAGGCCAGGUCACCUGUGUCCUGCUUCCUCCCUCCGGCCAGGAUCAUGCUUCCGCUCCUCACUGCUCUGGCGCUCUGGGGGACGCUGGCUACCCCAGCAGGGACAUCCAAGGCAUGUCCAGCUUGCUCUCUGCUGGGAAACUGCACCGAGAGAACCUGUCCUGCUGCCAAGGAAGCCUGCUUGUUCAGCCAGAUGCAGCUUGAAAAUGGGACUGUCAUCAAGAAUGGGUCAUGUGUCACCCCUGGGGAAUGCCGAGAAGGUGUUUACUCCCUGACCUAUGGCCCCCACUGGAGUCUCUGGGUCAGCACAGCGUGUUGUGAGAUCACCUGCAAAGGGGCCACACGACAAGAUGUGGCGCCUGAGGCCCCGCUCAACGGAGUGAAAUGUCACUACUGUUUCGGGGAUGAGUCGGCCUCGUGUGACUCCCGUUUGGUCAUGAACUGCACCGGUGAUCAGACCAUGUGUGUCACCCUCAAUGGGACAUGGAAUGGAGGGGGUCCCCAAAUCUUGAAGGGCUGUGCUACCCCAAAUGUAUGCCACCUACAAGUGAAUACGACGCUGGGCCCGGAAGCAUCUGGAUUUCAUCUCACCAGCAAGCCUGAAUGCGACUAUGUGGCCACUCCCACCCCACCAGGUCCUCCUGCAGCUGCGACUCUGACCAAGGAUGAGGUCACCACCUGUUUCACCUGCUCGAGCCUCAAUAGUUGUGACACUCUCCUCUGCCCAGCGGACAGACAGUACUGCCUUCAGACCGCAGGCAUCCUGACCUCAAGGAAAGGUGACUCUGUUGUCUGGAGAAGUGGUUCCUGCGUGGCCUCCAAGGACUGCAAAUUUGGCAGCUCUGUCUCUGCCUUCACCUACGGCGUUGACUUUGGCUUCUGGAUCAACUCCACCUGUUGCCAAGGCAACUGCCAAGAACUCACUCCUCUCGAAGUUUUGCCAACCUCACACACCCUGAGUGAGUUCCUGUGUCCUGCAUGUCCUGGUGGCCAGCCGGGGCCCUGCAAUUCCUCCUUCUAUAUGCAGUGUCCCAGUGGGGAGACGGAGUGUGUCCAGCUGGACCUGGUACUUGUAGAAGGCGGCCAGAGCGUGAGCAUGCACGGCUGCGGCUCCCAGGAUUUGUGCAGUCCCCCCGCCACCGAAGGGCUGCUGGAGCUGCCCGGCCACCGGCUGGCCCUCCCGCCGCACUGCAGCACCCGCCAGCGGGCUGUCAUGGCCUCCAAGUGCCACUCUGGCGUGCCACCCGGCCUCCGUCUCGCCCUGUCUGUGCUGCUGGUGGGCCUGGGUGCUGCGACCCUGUCCUGAGCAGGCCUGGCCUAUACUACCCUUGCCCCGCAUUCACUUAACCCUGUUUGUGUCCCACGUCGCUAGAUGGCACCCUGGCUUCCUCCUACUUCCAGUAUUUCUAUGUCUGGAAGCUUCUGGUGAGAAAAGUCAAAACCAGAGGGGGUGGGUAAGCCUCCUCCCUCAGACUAAGGGGUUCCCUAAGGCUAGUCCUCUUUCUUAACACCUGGGGCCCAAAGGCUAUACCUCCUCCCUCAGACUAGGCUGCGCUUUCUCAGACCUCAGACUAGAGACAGCUCCCUGGGCCCCAAAGACUAAGCCUCCUUCCUCAAACUAGGAGGUCCCCAACACCAGCUUACUCCCUCAGACUAGAGCUGUGUUUUCCUGAGGAUUGGGAAGCAGCUGCUUCUGUCUCCCUCUUUAGGCUCUAGCAAAGUCUUGGGCAGCCAAGAUAGAGUUUGGGACCAAAUACACCCCCUUCCCAGGGUUUUAGAGCACCCCUUCCACCCCCACCACAGGCCCUCUUCUGUCUGGGCUCAGUCUCCCCGCUGUCACCAAAUCUGAAUGAAUCACAUCCCACAAUGCCAAGUGGAUUGGGUUUCCUUCUUCUCCAUCGCAGCCUCAAAUGGGACCCUGAUUGUGGUCUGCUCUCUCCUCUGGGGAUGCCGGGACCCGAGGGGACCUCCAGAUGAUGGUGUCUGGGAGCCAGAGUGGGCAUGAGAGCAAAUGCUCAGUCUGGAGUGAGUAUCAUUUUCGAGCCAGCAUUGUACCCAAGGAUUGAAGCGAG